GUGUUUGCUUCAGCAGCACAAAAGCUAACAUUGGAAUGAUACAGAAAAGAUUAGCAUGGCUCCUGUACAAAGAUGACAUGCAAAUUCAUGAAGCAUUCCAUAUUUUA